GGGCGUAUAGCUCAGCGGUAGAGCUCUGGUUUUACACACCAGCGGUCGGGGGUUCGAACCCCUCUGCGCCCACAA
rnacentral:tRNA from 2 species